rnacentral:rRNA from 1 species
GUGGGGAAUUUUGGACAAUGGGCGCAAGCCUGAUCCAGCAAUGCCGCGUGCAGGAAGAAGGCCUUCGGGUUGUAAACUGCUUUUGUACGGAACGAAAAGGCUCUGGUUAAUACCUGGGGCUAAUGACGGUACCGUAAGAAUAAGCACCGGCUAACUACGUGCCAGCAGCCGCGGUAAUACGUAGGGUGCAAGCGUUAAUCGGAAUUACUGGGCGUAAAGCGUGCGCAGGCGGUUUUGUAAGACAGGCGUGAAAUCCCCGGGCUCAACCUGGGAAUGGCGCUUGUGACUGCAAGGCUGGAGUGCGGCAGAGGGGGAUGGAAUUCCGCGUGUAGCAGUGAAAUGCGUAGAUAUGCGGAGGAACACCGAUGGCGAAGGCAAUCCCCUGGGCCUGCACUGACGCUCAUGCACGAAAGCGUGGGGAGCAAACAGGAUUAGAAACCCGGGUAGUCC